UAAGGCAACGGGUUUUGGUCCCGUUACUCGGAGGUUCGAAUCCUUCCGUCCCAGA
rnacentral:tRNA from 1 species